rnacentral:rRNA from 1 species
GACGAACGCUGGCGGCGUGCCUAAUACAUGCAAGUAGAACGCUGAAGGAGGAGCUUGCUUCUCUGGAUGAGUUGCGAACGGGUGAGUAACGCGUAGGUAACCUGCCUGGUAGCGGGGGAUAACUAUUGGAAACGAUAGCUAAUACCGCAUAAGAGUAGAUGUUGCAUGACAUUUGCUUAAAAGGUGCAAUUGCAUCACUACCAGAUGGACCUGCGUUGUAUUAGCUAGUAGGUGGGGUAACGGCUUACCAAGGCGACGAUACAUAGCCGACCUGAGAGGGGGAUCGGCCACACUGGGACUGAGACACGGCCCAGACUCCUACGGGAGGCAGCAGUAGGGAAUCUUCGGCAAUGGACGGAAGUCUGACCGAGCAACGCCGCGUGAGGGAAGAAGGUUUUCGGAUCGUAAAGCUCUGUUGUAAGAGAAGAACGAGUGUGAGAGUGGAAAGUUCACACUGUGACGGUAUCUUACCAGAAAGGGACGGCUAACUACGUG